AAUACCCGGAGGGCGAAACCUCCUCCCUUCUCUCUCCGGGGUGACCAGCCAGCUCCUCCUCCCGCUGGCUCGUAACAGGAAAAGGCCGGCACCUCCUCCCGCCGGCCUUUUCUUUU
rnacentral:sRNA from 1 species